rnacentral:lncRNA from 1 species
GUUUUCAACUAAAUGCUCAAAGGAGGUUUUCAAAUCUGGGUUGGUUGGAAGGUAAGCUUGCUUCUCAAUCUAGUAACUUCAUGAAUAAAGUUACAUAUUUGGGUUGAUUGAGCUAACAGUCACAAAACUUUGUAUUUUCAUAAAACAAUUUUUGCUCCUUAAGUUUUAUUUAGUAGGGAAAAAACAGCCGAGGCCAUACCUUUUGUGUAAGAUUCAUUGCGAAAAUUAAGCAUACACAAAUUAAUAGCAAAGUUGAGCUUUAAUAAUUUAGAAAAGGAAAAAAAUUAGUUACACUCAGUCUCUGGGAUAUAAAAUCUAGUGGCUGCUUUCUUUCUGGGAAAUACCCGUAUUCUCAAGAUCCGGGUGUCUUUUGAGGCGCAGGCUGGACAAAAGACAUGGUAUAUCAAGCACCUUAUCCAGUGGUCAACAGAUGUGAAUAUCAAUUCUAUUCAAUAGACAACUUUUCCUCAGGCAAGGAUACUGUGAAGCUUGGUUGGAGGAAAUAUAAUUGUUUCCAUGUAUAAGCAUCAAUAUGCUUUGGUUGUAAAUCUGUUGAGCUGUAUUCAAACAAAUCCAAUGUCAUGGGUUCGAGUAUCUUCCGUGGCUCUUGGGAGGUGGGCAUUUAGGCUCCCCUGCGCCCUGCUCUGUUGUGGGGCAACAGCUGCAACAGAUUAUCAGUAUCCAUUCUCAUUCAAGAAGGAAAGGAAAAUGUUAAGUCCUCCCUCUUCUCCAUGUUUCAAGCUAAAACCAGACAAAAUGUCCUAUCCAGCUUAACAUCUGAAAUUGUGCAUAUCUUUAGCUACUCGUUCCUUUUCAAUUUCAUCAUAUAUGUAACUCAAAAUCAAAGCAAAAAAAACCCCCGGAAACUUCUAAACAUUUAUCAAAAAAUUUUGAAUUUACAAACCCAACCAUGUCCACUGUUAACAGACAUGUUUG